UGUGGUUUAAUUCGAAGCAACGCGAAGAACCUUUACCAGGUCUUGACAUCCCGAUGCUAUUUCUAGAGAUAGAAAGUUACUUGGUACAUCGGUGACAGGUGGUGCAUGGUUGUCGUCAGCUCGUGUCGUGAGAUGUUGGGUUAAGUCCCGCAACGAGCGCAACCCCUAUUGUUAGUUGCCAUCAUUCAGUUGGGCACUCUAGCGAGACUGCCGGUAAUAAACCGGAGGAAGGUGGGGAUGACGUCAAAUCAUCAUGCCCCUUAUGACCUGGGCUACACACGUGCUACAAUGGUUGGUACAACGAGUUGCGAGUCGGUGACGGCGAGCUAAUCUCUUAAAGCCAAUCUCAGUUCGGAUUGUAGGCUGCAACUCGCCUACAUGAAGUCGGAAUCGCUAGUAAUCGCGGAUCAGCACGCCCGCGGUCGAAUACGUUCCCGGGCCUU
rnacentral:rRNA from 1 species